rnacentral:rRNA from 1 species
UAGGGAAUAUUAGUAAUGGGCGAAAGCCUGAACUAGCAACACCGCGUGUGCGAAGAAGGCCUUCGGGUUGUAAAGCACUUUUUGAGAGGAUGAGGAAGGACAGUACUCUUAGAAUAAGCCUCGGCUAACUACGUGCCAGCAGCCGCGGUAAAACGUAGGAGGCGAACGUUAUCCGGAUUUACUGGGCGUAAAGCGCGUGUAGGUGGUUUGGUAAGUAGAGCGUGAAAGCUCCUGGCUCAACUGGGAGAGGUCGUUCUAAACUGCCGGACUAGAGGAUGGUAGAGGGAGGUGGAAUUCCGGGUGUAGCGGUGGAAUGCGCAGAUAUCCGAAGGAACACCAGUGGCGAAAGCGGCCUCCUGGACCACUCCUGACACUCAGACGCGAAAGCUAGGGUAGCAAACG